rnacentral:lncRNA from 1 species
GCAUGAGACUGUAUUUGUGUCAUGGAAAGAGAUCAUAAAGGUAUAAUGUGGGUCUAGCACAUGUACAGACCACAUCAGAUCGCUAAAAUAGUAUCUCUACAUGGAGAACACUGUGUGAACAUUGUGUAAUUGGUUCUGGCUGGUCUAUCACGUGAUUGAAGAGAGUUCCCUCCUCACUCCCACCAGCUCUUUACCCCAAUCGUCAGCAUUUUUAAAAAGGUCUGGCCAAGUCAGCGGCUGUCUCAUUCCUACUGUUGCUGCAUUUGUGAGGAAGUGAGAACUCACCCAAAACAAGAGUCCUAGUCACUAAGGAAUCGAGCAUCCCCACUUUUGCUAGGCUCCUAAACUUCUUGUUUUAACCAUGAAGUUCUUGGUGGCUGCCCUCUCUGUCCUUCUUCUUGUUGACUUCUCCUUAAUGAUGGCAAAUAAGUCAGGUCCUCUUUCAAGUCCUCCCUUUUCACAAGAGUUAGAGCCUGAGCCGCUGGCCUGCUGCAAAGACUUUGUUAGAAAGAGGAUCCCACAAUCUUUCAUGCUUGGCUACACUAGAUCCAACCCCCGGUGCUCUAAGCCUGCAAUUAUGUUCGAAACCAAUAAAGGAGUGAAAGUCUGCGCCAAUCCACAUACGCCCUGGGUGCGGAAUUAUGUGAGAAACCUGGGAGGGUCAGUGGGGACAGAGGAAGAGGAGGGGAUUUUGGUCUAGGAAAGUCAGUUAGAGUGAGACUCCUGUGCUAAUGGUGACCUGGUCCUGCUUCAAACCUGCUAUUCACACCGCAGAGGGAUGGAUGGAAACAAGCCAAGCUGCUGUCCCAAGGGAAGAAUCUGGGGUAGAAUAAAGGCUUUUCAAAGUA